CGCAUCUGUGCAUGCAGCAUAUCAAUAAGCGGAGGAAAAGAAACUAACAAGGAUUCCCCUAGUAACGGCGAGUGAAGCGGGAAGAGCUCAAAUUUGAAAUCUUAAAGGGUUUCCCUUUACGAAUUGUAGUUUAAAGAAGUGUUUUCUGUUGAGGUUUUGGUAAAAGUUCUUUGGAAUAGGACAUCAUAGAGGGUGAGAAUCCCGUAUUUGACCUUUACUUUCAACUUUGUGAUACACUUUCAAAGAGUCGGAUCGUUUGGGAAUGCAGUCCAAAAUGGGUGGUAAAUUUCAUCUAAAGCUAAAUAUUGGCGAGAGACCGAUAGCGAACAAGUACCGUGAGGGAAAGAUGAAAAGAACUUUGAAAAGAGGGUUAAACAGUACGUGAAAUUGUCAAAAGGGAAGCGUUUGACACCAGUGUUGUUUUUCUGAAAAUCAAUUAAAGAACUGUUUAUGCUAAGCUGUUUAGACUUUAUCAGCUAACUGUUUAGUUUUGAGCUUUUCUUUAAUGCACUUUUCAGUUAACAAGUCAACAUCAAUUUCUUUUGCUGUAAAAAGCUUGAGGAAGGUGGCUUGAGAUUCGUCUUAAGUGUUUAUAGCCUCUUGCCUAUGCAGUCGGAGAGAUUGAGGUCUGCAGCGUAGAUCCUUCGGGGCUAAAUGCAUUUGUGCUAAGUUAUAGCAUUUUAUAGACAACUUGUUGACUAUGAUUUGUCUUGUAGCUUACUCGCUUAUGUUAUUUUACCUACGCUUAGGAUGUUGAGCGCAUGUCUCUCUCU
rnacentral:rRNA from 1 species